CCUACGGGGGGCUGCAGUGGGGAAUAUUGGACAAUGGGCGAAAGCCUGAUCCAGCCAUGCCGCGUGUGUGAAGAAGGCCUUCGGGUUGUAAAGCACUUUCAGUGGGGAAGAAAGCCUUGGGGCUAAUACCCUCGAGGAAGGACAUCACCCACAGAAGAAGCACCGGCUAACUCCGUGCCAGCAGCCGCGGUAAUACGGAGGGUGCGAGCGUUAAUCGGAAUUACUGGGCGUAAAGCGCGCGUAGGCGGUCUGAUAAGCCGGUUGUGAAAGCCCCGGGCUCAACCUGGGAACGGCAUCCGGAACUGUCAGGCUAGAGUGCAGGAGAGGAAGGUAGAAUUCCCGGUGUAGCGGUGAAAUGCGUAGAGAUCGGGAGGAAUACCAGUGGCGAAGGCGGCCUUCUGGACUGGCACUGACGCUGAGGUGCGAAAGCGUGGGUAGCAAACAGGAUUAGAUACCCUGGUAGUC
rnacentral:rRNA from 1 species